CCUACGGGGGGCUGCAGUAAGGAAUAUUCCGCAAUGGGCGAAAGCCUGACGGAGCAAUGCCGCGUGUGGGAUGAAGCGGUUUCGCCGUGUAAACCACUGUCAGAAGAUAGAAAAGAUGAUCAUCUUCAGAGGAAGGGGCGACUAACUCUGUGCCAGCAGUCGCGGUAAGACAGAGGCCCCGAGCGUUAGUCGGAAUCACUGGGCUUAAAGGGUGCGUAGGCGGGCGCGUAAGUGCUUUGUGAAAGCCCUGGGCUCAACCCAGGAAUUGCAGGGCAUACUGCGCGUCUCGAGGUAGCUAGAGGCCGGUAGAACGAUCGGUGGAGCGGUGGAAUGCGUAGAGAUCGAUCGGAAUGCCAAGGGUGAAGACAACCGGCUGGGGCUUACCUGACGCUGAGGCACGAAAGCGUGGGGAUCAAACAGGCUUAGAUACCCUGGUAGUC
rnacentral:rRNA from 1 species